rnacentral:rRNA from 1 species
AUUGAACGCUGGCGGCAUGCCUUACACAUGCAAGUCGAACGGUAACAGGCCUUCGGAUGCUGACGAGUGGCGAACGGGUGAGUAAUACAUCGGAACGUGCCCGAUCGUGGGGGAUAACGAGGCGAAAGCUUUGCUAAUACCGCAUACGAUCUACGGAUGAAAGCGGGGGAUCUUCGGACCUCGCGCGGACGGAGCGGCCGAUGGCAGAUUAGGUAGUUGGUGGGAUAAAAGCUUACCAAGCCGACGAUCUGUAGCUGGUCUGAGAGGAUGAUCAGCCACACUGGGACUGAGACACGGCCCAGACUCCUACGGGAGGCAGCAGUGGGGAAUUUUGGACAAUGGGCGAAAGCCUGAUCCAGCCAUGCCGCGUGCAGGAUGAAGGCCUUCGGGUUGUAAACUGCUUUUGUACGGAACGAAAAGCCUCUUUCUAAUAAAGAGGGGUCAUGACGGUACCGUAAGAAUAAGCACCGGCUAACUACGUG